GCUGGCGGCGUGGAUAAGACAUGCAAGUCGAACGAAGAAACUAAAUAGCUUGCUAAUUGGUUUCUUAGUGGCGGACGGGUUAGUAACACGUGAGCAACCUGCCUCGAAGCGGGGGAUAGCCUUUCGAAAGGAAGAUUAAUACCGCAUAUGGUCUACGGAUCAAAGGAGCCUUCGGGUUUCACUUCGAGAUGGGCUCGCGGCCUAUCAGCUAGUUGGUGAGGUAAAGGCUCACCAAGGCAACGACGGGUAGCUGUUCUGAGAGGAAGAUCAGCAACACUGGAACUGAGACACGGUCCAGACACCUACGGGUGGCAGCAGUCGAGAAUCAUUCACAAUGGACGCAAGUCUGAUGGUGCAACGCCGCGUGGAGGAUGAAGGCCCUAGGGUCGUAAACUCCUGUCAUAUAAGAGUAAGGCAUAUGUGGAAUAAUACCCAUGUAUGUUUGAUAGUAUUAUAAGAGGAAGGGACGGCUAACUUCGUGCCAGCAGCCGCGGUAAUACGAAGGUCCCGAGCGUUAUUCGGAAUCACUGGGGCGUAAAGAGUACGUAGGCGGGUCAGGUAAGUCAGAUGUGAAAUCCCGGAGCUCAACUCCGGAACUGCAUCCGAUACUGCUUGACUUGAGUAAUGCAGGGGCAGGUGGAAUUCUCGGUGUACCAAUGAAAUGCGUGAAUAUCGAGAGGAAGACCAAUGGGCGAAGGCACCCUGGCUGGACCUUUACUGACGCUCAGGUACGAAGGCCAGGUAUCCCAAGGGGAUUAGAUACCCCUGUAUCCGGCAGUAACGGGCGCG
rnacentral:rRNA from 1 species